UACGUAGAGUGCGAGCGUUGUCCGGAAUUAUUGGGCGUAAAGAGCUCGUAGGCGGUCUGUCGCGUCGAUCGUGAAAACUUGGGGCUUAACCCUGAGCUUGCGGUCGAUACGGGCAUGACUGGAGUUCGGCAGGGGAGACUGGAAUUCCUGGUGUAGCGGUGAAAUGCGCAGAUAUCAGGAGGAACACCGGUGGCGAAGGCGGGUCUCUGGGCCGAUACUGACGCUGAGGAGCGAAAGCGUGGGGAGCGAACAGG
rnacentral:rRNA from 1 species